rnacentral:lncRNA from 1 species
CUUCGCUAUGUUUCCGGUUUCGGAUUUUAACAGUAAAAAACAGGGAAGCAUGUGAUGUUUACUUUUGUCUAACUACCUUUUGUUUAACGAUGAAGGGAUAUGAGACUUGUAAUACUGUUUACUGAUUUGAUGAUAUUCCUUGUUCCUUUGACGGUUCAUUCCACUAUACAGUAACAGCUGUUUCCUAUAACAUACAACAGCCAGGAAAUUGGCCUGUUUACUUUAAGAUCCCAAGAAAAUGUAACAUAUUUUGGAUGUGCUUUGAGGAAUCAGGAAUGCAAGUGUUUCCUCUUGUUUUUGAAGCAACUCAGUUGGUUAAGGGC